AUUGAACGCUGGCGGCAUGCUUUACACAUGCGAGUCGAACGGCAGCGCGGGCUUCGGCCUGGCGGCGAGUGGCGAACGGGUGAGUAAUACAUCGGAACGUGCCCAGUAGUGGGGGAUAGCUCGGCGAAAGCCGGAUUAAUACCGCAUACGACCUGAGGGUGAAAGCGGGGGAUCUUCGGACCUCGCGCUGUUGGAGCGGCCGAUGGCAGAUUAGCUAGUUGGUGGGGUAAAGGCCUACCAAGGCGACGAUCUGUAGCUGGUCUGAGAGGACGACCAGCCACACUGGGACUGAGACACGGCCCAGACUCCUACGGGAGGCAGCAGUGGGGAAUUUUGGACAAUGGGCGAAAGCCUGAUCCAGCAAUGCCGCGUGUGUGAUGAAGGCCUUCGGGUUGUAAAGCACUUUUGGCGGGAACGAAAAGGACUGUGCCAAUACCACGGUUCGAUGACGGUACCCGCAGAAUAAGCACCGGCUAACUACGUG
rnacentral:rRNA from 1 species